UCUGAUCUUAGCGGCGGACGGGUGAGUAAUGCUUAGGAAUCUGCCUAUUAGUGGGGGACAACAUUUCGAAAGGAAUGCUAAUACCGCAUACGUCCUACGGGAGAAAGCAGGGGAUCUUCGGACCUUGCGCUAAUAGAUGAGCCUAAGUCGGAUUAGCUAGUUGGUGGGGUAAAGGCCUACCAAGGCGACGAUCUGUAGCGGGUCUGAGAGGAUGAUCCGCCACACUGGGACUGAGACACGGCCCAGACUCCUACGGGAGGCAGCAGUGGGGAAUAUUGGACAAUGGGCGCAAGCCUGAUCCAGCCAUGCCGCGUGUGUGAAGAAGGCCUUAUGGUUGUAAAGCACUUUAAGCGAGGAGGAGGCUACUUUAGUUAAUACCUAGAGAUAGUGGACGUUACUCGCAGAAUAAGCACCGGCUAACUCUGUGCCAGCAGCCGCGGUAAUACAGAGGGUGCAAGCGUUAAUCGGAUUUACUGGGCGUAAAGCGCGCGUAGGCGGCUAAUUAAGUCAAAUGUGAAAUCCCCGAGC
rnacentral:rRNA from 1 species